GACUCAGGAUCGAGUCUCGAGUCAGGCUCCCUGCAUGGAGCCCGCUUCUCCCUCUGCCUGUGUCUCUGCCUCUCAGUCUCUCUCUCUCUCUCUGAAUAAAUAAAUUUUAAAAAAAUGUUUUAAAAAAAAAGAAAUACAUUGCAUAGAUAAAAACAGAGUUAGGUUUUAUCUAUCUUGAAGUAGAUAUUCUUAACUUUGAUAAUUCAUGAAUACACUGGUAAUACACUAAUAACUUCAGAAAUUUGCUGAAUAAAUAUAUAUCUUACCACAUAAUGGGACAACUAUCAUGAAAUCCGCCCCCUCCUAAAAUAUCUAAAAAUGGAGGGUAAAGUAUUGUUAAAAGACCACUUUUAAUGUUUAGUUGGACUUACAAGAAAGCAAGGGAAAUUCCCUGAGACUGAUGGAGAAAGGCAAGCACUGAUACUCUAGGUUCUACUAAUCCCAGUGACCUACAGCUUGGUUUAAAUUGCCCAGACACAAUGUAGAAAUAGAACACAAAGAUUUGGCUCCAGUAUGGGUUAGAGAUCCUGAAUAAAUUCAAGGCAAAUAAAAGGCUACACACUUUAUUUUCCAAAAAUCUACACACUUAAUAAAAGCAUUUUCAAAAGUCAAUACUGCAAAAGUGGACAGGAAGGCAACUUGGCAAGCAAAUUUUUCUGUCUUAACUUUGAAUUUAUGGGGAAAAGUCUCUCUUGAGACUCAUAGCUAUCAGCCCAGAAUAUACCUGGAUUUAUAGCCCAAAUUUAUACUAUCUGCCUAGUACAAAAUACUACAAGGCAAAAAUUUGAUUUAAAUAGACACAAGUCGCUAGCAGUUCCAGCCUUCUGUGUGAAACUAACUGAAAUCCAUUCUCAGUCCCGUCCUCAAAGACUUCCCACAAAUAAAGUCCAAGAAACAUGAGCUCACAACAAGCUGCCAGAUGAGAGAGGGAGAACAUAUCCUAAAUUCUUCAGAUGUAAGAUAUAAGUAUAUUCAAUAGCAUUUUUUAAAAGGGGGAGGGAUCCCUGGGUGGCGCAGCGGUUUGGCGCCUGCCUUUGGCCCAGGGCGCGAUCCUGGAGACCCGGGAUCGAAUCCCACGUCGGGCUCCCGGUGCAUGGAGCCUGCUUCUCCCUCUGCCUGUGUCUCUGCGCCUCUCUCUCUCUCUCUAUCAUAAAUAAAUGAAAAUUAAAAAAAAAAAAAAACAUUUAAAAAAAAAAUAAAUAAAAGGGGGAUUAAAGUACGAAUAAUGGUGAGAAAUAAAAAUUACGUGACAUACUUGAAAAAUAAUAUUAUGCCACUUCUAGAAA
rnacentral:lncRNA from 1 species